GACGAACUGUGCAAACGUUAUUCGGAAUCACUGGGCUUAAAGGGUGCGUAGGCGGUCUUUUAAGUAGGGUGUGAAAGCCUCUGGCUCAACCAGAGAACUGCGCCCUAAACUAGAAGGCUUGAGUGAGGUAGGGGUGUGUGGAACUUCCAGUGGAGCGGUGGAAUGUGUUGAUAUUGGAAGGAACGCCGGUGGCGAAAGCGACACACUGGACCUUGUCUGACGCUGAGGCACGAAAGCCAGGGGAGCAAACGGG
rnacentral:rRNA from 1 species